GUUACGUCUGGGGCAGUGCCAGACUGUGCUUAUAAGAGGCUGCUCUCGGCCGUGCUCUUCCUUUCUGCUCUAUCCUUUCUGAGGGAUGCCGUUGGGUGAUCCCCACUUUCCUUGCUUGCAGUAGUUAUCUCAUAUGGAGGAGGGAGGAGCAUUCCUGCUUCCAACAGCAGGGUCACCGGUGCCUUUGGCGCUGGUGCGCGAGACGUGCUGAUGAGAACAGAGAACGGAUUCCAUCCGUUGAGACAAAGUACUGGAGAUGAGCGAUUGAGGAAUCAAUAGCACCCACUCUUGUAUGGAGUAGAUUGAAAGUAAUGACCUGGAGAAGUACUGAAAGAGCUGAGCACUGAAAGCACUGAAAGCGACAGAACAAACAACCGACAUAAUAAUGCAAUUAAAGCCUACUGAAUUUUGAAUGCCUAAACUAUAUUUUAUUUACGUUUUUGCGGCUUAUGUAUGUCUGCGUUGCUUGGUUCGGUGGGCUUGGGUCGCCCAGCCGGUAAAGACAAACACCCCGCAUUUUAAAAGGCUGUACGCGUUUUCUCUCUGUCCAAAAUAAAAUAAAAAUAGCAAAACCUGGAACAUGAA